ACUUUAGUAAACAUAUAACAGAAAAGACCUAAAUCAAUUUUAAACCAUUCAUAAAACCAUUUGUAGCCUAUGCUUUGUCUGUAACGUUACUACAGGUAUUGAUGUCAGCAAUGGAGAUUUAUUUUGCUUGGCUGUAACGCAUAGUCACAGUUAAAAAGAUCUGACGGAUAAUUUAGGUUGCAUGAUGUUAGAAUCAGCAGCACAUAUUCGUCGGAGAGGGGCUCAGGACUUCGAGGGGUACUAUGAUCACAUCUGUGCGUCUCAGGGUUCAGCCCCAGUCCGUGCAGUGAAGACCGGCCUGUCCGGUGGGAUGUUAGAGUUUAAUGCCGAUCACAUCAGUUUGGCAGACUGGACACCCAUAUUGUCAGCCCUCGCCAUCAAUAAACACCUCCAGCAUAUUUCCAUCAAGAGUUGCCAUCUCACCAGCCUUGGAGCUCAAAGUUCUUACAGAACCCAUAUUAAGAAGAAGACCCCUGCAGUCCAUUCAAAGACUAUGACCCUUCAGUUGUGCAGAAGUGUCUGUCGGAGUCAAACAGUCUUAAAACCU